AACGAACGCUGGCGGCAUGCCUAACACAUGCAAGUCGAACGAGACCUUCGGGUCUAGUGGCGCACGGGUGCGUAACGCGUGGGAACCUGCCCUUAGGUUCGGAAUAACUCCCCGAAAGGGGUGCUAAUACCGGAUAAUGGCUUCUGACCAAAGAUUUAUCGCCUUUGGAUGGUCCCGCGUUGGAUUAGCUAGUUGGGAGGGUAAAAGACUACCAAGGCGACGAUCCAUAGCUGGUCUGAGAGCAUGAUCAGCCACACUGGGAAUGAGACACGGCCCAGACUCCUACGGGAGGCAGCAGUGGGGAAUAUUGGACACUGGGCGAAAGCCUGAUCCAGCCAUGCCGCGUGAGUGAUGAAGGACUUAGGGUUGUAAAGCUCUUUUACCCGGGAUGAUAAUGACAGUACCGAGAGAAUAAGCUCCGGCUAACUCCGU
rnacentral:rRNA from 1 species